rnacentral:tRNA from 3 species
GGGCCGUUAGCUCAGUUGGUAGAGCACCGGACUUUUAAUCCGGGUGUCGCGAGUUCGAGCCUCGCACGGCCCACCA